UACGGAGGGUCCAAGCGUUAUCCGGAUUUUAUUGGGUUUUAAAGGGUGCGCAGGCGGAACUUUUAAGUCAGUGGUGAAAAUCUUGCCGCUUAAACGGUAAAAUUGCCAUUGAUACUGAAGUUCUUGAAUGUAGUUGAGGUAGGCGGAAUGUGUUGUGUAGCGGUGAAAUGCAUAGAUAUGACACAGAACGCCAAUUGCGAAGGCAGCUUACUAAGCUACUAUUGACGCUGAGGCACGAAAGCGUGGGGAGCGAACAGG
rnacentral:rRNA from 1 species